AUGAGUUUUGAAAGCAUAUCUGACUUGAUCACACCACUCAAGUUGUUUGAUGACAAAUCAAGCUCACGAAGGUUCACAAGAUCAAAAAUGGAAUACGGUAUGGGACCACUCAAGUUGUUUGAUGACAAAUCAAGCUCAGUAAGGUUCACAAGAUAAAAAAUGGAAUACGGUAUGGGACCACUCAAGUUGUUUGAUGACAAAUCAAGCUCAGUAAGGUUCACAAGAUAAAAAAUGGAAUACGGUAUUGGACCACCAAUGUCAUUAUAACUCAAAUCAACAUGUUGGACAAAACCAGGCUUCUGAAUUUGGUCAAUAGGACCAAUUAGUUUAUUAUAACCGAGGUCCAAUUGU
rnacentral:lncRNA from 1 species